GGGUCUCUGGUUAGUUUUGCUGGUUUGCUUUCAGCUUUUGAAAACACACGCUGUGCAAAUCCAUGCAAAACUGAUCAUGGCA
rnacentral:pre_miRNA from 10 species